AUUGUGUUUAUCAUGGUCUUUGGUUUAGACAUGGUUUGAUAUUCAUGGUUUCAAUUUUAAGAAUGUGUGAAUUUCUUUCAUCAGAUUCGUGAAACUUAAGUCACUGUGCAAGCAUUUUUAAGUUGUGCUAUGAUUGUGUGCAUACUUCUAAAGAUUGUAAAAUCAAUUAAUAUAUUUAGGUGUAUUUUAUUUUUAUUUUAAGUAUAGGGAUUUUGGAGUAUUCAUGCUUCUGAGGCUAUAGAUCUUUAGAGGGUCGACCAUGUAUUCUUUUCUGCCAUUCUAAAUUGUUUGUCUUAAUUUUUAUUUUCUACUUAUGAAUUGAUGCCAUGUGUUAUAGUGAUGCAAGGGCGCAAGUUGAUGAUGAAGAUACAGCAAUGAUGAACAUUAUCAGGUUUGAUGAUUGGGUCACCAUUAAAAUCUUAAACUAGACAAUGAUGGAAUCACCUAUGCUGAUAUGACAAAUUAGCUUUGGCGUCAUUGGCUCCAUCUGACGAAUCAGUACCUAGCAGCUCUAGAAAGAAGAAGUCCAAGUGAUCACUGCCAUGUUCAUGCAAUACAAAAAGCACCAUUGUUUCUGCCAGAAAGGGAGAGAAAUGCUAAGAAACAAAGUCUGCAACAACAUUGAAACAGAUGAAAAAUUUUCCUAUUCUCAGGCAAAUCAUGGUCCUCACGGAAGCUUCAAAGUCUAAGAAAGGCAAAUGGAUUGGUGUUUCAUUUUAGUGUAAGAAUUUGAAAAAGUUCCAAUAUGUUCAUGGGCUGUCAAAGUUGAAAAGUGCAUAGGAAGACUACUGUUAUAUUGUUAUCUUUGAGGGUUCUCCCUAUCACAGUCAUGAGAGAAUUUGUAGAACAAGCUUCUUUAUUUUUUAUUCUAUAUAUAUAUAUAUAUAUAUAUUUUUUUUUUUUUGGACUUUAGGUUUCAUGUAAGGUAUUUAUUUUUUCUGAUAGAUGUUUGUUGUACUCUGCUUGGCAUAUUUUUAAAUUGGUACAAACUGUUGAAACAUAAACUAUUAGGACGUAUAAUACUUUUCAAAGUUGCUGUGUCAGGGCCUUAGGCCUUCACUUGGUAUCAAUUUGGUGGGCAGCAAGUGUUUGUUGAAAGUUGAGUAUUGGCACUUGGCAGCUAAAGUGGUUUGUAAUGUUGUAAGUGGAACCUAAGUUUAAUCAAGCACCAUGGUCUUCUCUUUUGGUU